CUUUGAUUGAUCGAGCGAUAAAAUUGUGUAAGACCAAACGGCUCGUGACGAACGGCGGAACGGGAUGCAGUACCAACACUGGCUCCCCCAUCACCAGUGUUCAUCUUUCUCACUAUCCCCACCAUAUGAUUCAUGGUAGCCUCAAGACUCCAAAAAUUUCAGUCAUACAAACCUUCAUCUUUUGGAACUCAUCGUACAUUUGGCGGAGGAGAUUGGUCCAUUUUGGAUUCGGUUAUCUUGAUUAGACCAUUUGUUUCGCAUCACUCUCUCUCGCAAAUCAUGCCAGCCUCGUUCUCUAUCUGUACUCUUUUGGUCAAAAGUUGUAUUCUCAUCAUCGGAUCACAACCCACACUAAU
rnacentral:lncRNA from 1 species